rnacentral:rRNA from 1 species
GACGAACGCUGGCGGCGUGCUUAACACAUGCAAGUCGAACGGAAAGGCCUCUUUCGGGGGGUACUCGAGUGGCGAACGGGUGAGUAACACGUGAGUAACCUGCCCUUGACUUUGGGAUAACUUCAGGAAACUGGGGCUAAUACCGGAUAGGAGCUCCUGCUGCAUGGUGGGGGUUGGAAAGGUUCGGCGGUUGGGGAUGGACUCGCGGCUUAUCAGCUUGUUGGUGGGGUAGUGGCUUACCAAGGCUUUGACGGGUAGCCGGCCUGAGAGGGUGACCGGCCACAUUGGGACUGAGAUACGGCCCAGACUCCUACGGGAGGCAGCAGUGGGGAAUAUUGCACAAUGGGUGGAAGCCUGAUGCAGCAACGCCGUGUGCGGGAUGACGGCCUUCGGGUUGUAAACCGCUUUCGCUCAUGACGAAGCUUUGUGUGACGGUAGUGGGUAAAGAAGCACCGGCUAACUACGUG